rnacentral:sRNA from 2 species
CAAAUAAACUGUUAGGUGAGACUCCUACGUGAACACACGCUAUCGCCCAGGAACAUCCAGAGAUGCCAACGGGUUAAACAGGUAUUGUCGAGUUAAGGCACUAUCCAGAUAGCUAGCAUGUGCUUACGUCACGUAGUGUUAAAACUGAACGAUUGGUUAUAACG